AACGAACGCUGGCGGCAUGCCUAACACAUGCAAGUCGAACGAGACCUCCGGGUCUAGUGGCGCACGGGUGCGUAACGCGUGGGAACCUGCCCUUAGGUUCGGAAUAACUCCCCGAAAGGGGUGCUAAUACCGGAUAAUGUCUUCGGACCAAAGAUUUAUCGCCUUUGGAUGGGCCCGCGUUGGAUUAGCUAGUUGGUAGGGUAAAAGCCUACCAAGGCGACGAUCCAUAGCUGGUCUGAGAGGAUGAUCAGCCACACUGGGACUGAGACACGGCCCAGACUCCUACGGGAGGCAGCAGUGGAGAAUAUUGGACAAUGGGCGAAAGCCUGAUCCAGCAAUGCCGCGUGAGUGAUGAAGGCCUUAGGGUUGUAAAGCUCUUUUACCCGGGAUGAUAAUGACAGUACCGGGAGAAUAAGCUCCGGCUAACUCCGUG
rnacentral:rRNA from 1 species